rnacentral:rRNA from 1 species
UUCCUACGGGGGGCUGCAGUCGAGAGGCUUCGGCAAUGGGGGAAACCCUGACCGAGCGACGCCGCGUGAGGGAUGAAGGCCCUUGGGUUGUAAACCUCUUUUGUUCGGGAAGAAGUGCGAUCAGGUGAACAAUCUGGUCGUUUGACGGUACCGGACGAAUAAGCUCCGGCUAACUCCGUGCCAGCAGCCGCGGUAACACGGGGGGAGCAAGCGUUGUUCGGAAUCACUGGGCGUAAAGGGCGUGUAGGCGGUCAGGUAAGUGGGAUGUGAAAUGCCCCGGCUCACCCGGGGACCUGCAUCCCAAACUGCUUGGCUUGAGUAUGGGAGAGGAUGAGGGAAUUCCUGGUGUAGCGGUGAAAUGCGUAGAUAUCAGGAGGAACACCGGUGGCGAAGGCGCUCAUCUGGCCCAAUACUGACGCUGAGGCGCGAAAGCUAGGGGAGCAAACGGGAUUAGAUACCCUUGUAGUCAG